AUGAAUGUACUGUGCUAUCUACUCAGUAUUCUUCACAGAACAAUCCAGUGUGCCACAGACAGACCAUCAUUCAGUUCUCAGUAAGAAAUUCACAUCUCCUAGCAGGAACAUAAUUUAAACCAAGACUGAUUUCUUCCACAGAUUACUUAAACAUGUAUUUUAAUGCCCUUUUGAGCCUGAAUAUUUAUAACAUAUUACAUUUGAAUUUGCUUUCCUGGAAAAACUUUUGCUUACCGUGUCAGGAUACAUCUUACAGAACUUAUGAUGAAGACUAUGAGGAGAAGGCAACUUCAAUACUUCUGACCUGAUGCAAAAGCCACUGGAGUCAAUAUAGGAAUUCCUCACUGUUUUUGUUUAUGGAAGGGGACAGAGAGAAAAUCUGGAGCUGAAGCCAUGAAAGAACAGGUGAUGGAAACUCUGCAAGACCUCCUUUACGUUCAGGAAACAAGGGUGGCUGCAUAGAUCUCAUGGUAGGACACCACCAUCAGUCUGCACCCCCAUCUUGUGGGAAUAAGAAAUCUGGGCAGAUUCUCGGUUGGUGUAAAUCGGUGUAAUGCUGUUGAAGCCAGUGGAAUAAUACAUAUUUAUCCACAGCAUACACCAAACCAGAAGUCAGCACCAGUGCUAGAGGUGUUGUCCUAUCAGCUAAAAGAAAUCACAAGCCCAAACUGCAUCCAUUGAACGUAAAAGGAAGGACUACGAUCGCACCUAGAGCCGAUGCUGGAAUUACAUCCAGCCAAACUUAUUUUCAACUGGACUGUUCAAGUGCUUAAAGUUAAGCAUACACAUAAGUGUUUGCAGGAUUAAAGCCUCCGUUUGGAAUGACAGAGUAAAUCCAAAUGGAGAUGGAUUAGCUGGCAGGGGGCAGGUGAGGUGGUCAAAGGCACAUGCAGUUUAUCAUAUGGCUCUGUAAUUUACUACAUGAUUAUCACAACUACAUAUUUGGUGUGGGGAUAUAGAUAUACAUGCACACAUGUAUACACGGAGCCAAACUUUUU